GUUGUGGCUCAGAGGUAGAGUACUUGCCUAGCAUGUGUGAGGCAGUGAGUUCGAUUCUCAGCACA
rnacentral:tRNA from 1 species